GGCCUUGUGGUGUAGUGGUAACACGUCCUCUGUGAUUACUUCUGGAAAUUCAUACUUGAGGAAGUCCCUUGUUCAAAUCAAGGUGAGGCCA